GGAAAAGAUGACUUUGCUUUUCAGUUUCCUGUGUUAUCUACACAUAUGAAACGCUUGUUUAGAACGAACAAAGUAGCAGUGUCAUGCUCAGUUGAAAGAAUUUUACUGUUUCUUUACUUGGAAAUGGAAAAUUUUCAUAUCAGCAGCCUAAAAAGCAUCCAAAUACUAAAAAACAUCUUAAGUCAGCGUGUUUCUCAACAAAUAAAUUCAAAAACUUACAGCAAUAUUUUCUUUGAAACCAAACUGAGCAUUUAUCCAAAUUAUAGAAAAAAACAUAAGAAAAAAUACACAAAGCCAGAGCUUUUUACUGAAAACUUAAAGCAAGGUCGAGCGGAUUUGUUUCUUCUCUUUUGAAGAAAAUUCAAAAAGCCGUCCAAUCAAAUAAUGAAACAGAGGCAGGGAAUUACCAGAGAAAACACACUGGUUCCGCCUGUGAAUUACUGUUUCAAAAUCAGCAGUGAAUCCAAAUUCAAAAGUGGGUCAUAAAAUUCCUUGAGAACCCAAGAAAACCCCCGAGGAAAUUCCCAAGCUUUGUGACCGAGUUAUCCUAAAUCCUAAUCCAUGGAAAGUAGGGGAAGAGGUCUCUGGAAAGGUUGCGGUGCAAAGGCGAGCAAUGAAACUUGAAAUUAAAGCAAUUGUCCUGAAGGAUUUUUU
rnacentral:misc_RNA from 1 species